rnacentral:rRNA from 1 species
UACGAAGGGGGCGAGCGUUGUUCGGAUUUACUGGGCGUAAAGGGCGCGCAGGCGGCCGCUCAAGUCAGGCGUGAAAGCCCCGGGCUUAACCUGGGAACUGCGUCUGGGACUGAGUGGCUAGAGUUCGGGAGAGGAGAGUGGAAUUCCCAGUGUAGAGGUGAAAUUCGUAGAUAUUGGGAAGAACACCCGUGGCGAAAGCGGCUCUCUAGAACGGUACUGACGCUGAGACGCGAAAGCGUGGGGAGCGAACAGG